UGGGGAAUUUUGGACAAUGGGCGAAAGCCUGAUCCAGCAAUGCCGCGUGUGUGAAGAAGGCCUUCGGGUUGUAAAGCACUUUUGUCCGGAAAGAAAUCCUUGGCUCUAAUACAGUCGGGGGAUGACGGUACCGGAAGAAUAAGCACCGGCUAACUACGUGCCAGCAGCCGCGGUAAUACGUAGGGUGCAAGCGUUAAUCGGAAUUACUGGGCGUAAAGCGUGCGCAGGCGGUUUGCUAAGACCGAUGUGAAAUCCCCGGGCUCAACCUGGGAACUGCAUUGGUGACUAGCAGGCUAGAGUAUGGCAGAGGGGGGUAGAAUUCCACGUGUAGCAGUGAAAUGCGUAGAGAUGUGGAGGAAUACCGAUGGCGAAGGCAGCCCCCUGGGCCAAUACUGACGCUCAUGCACGAAAAGCGUGGGGAGCAAAACAGGAUUAGAUACCCUGGUAGUCCACGCCCUAAAACGAUGUCAACUAGUUGUUGGGGGAUUCAUUUCCUUAGUAACGUAGCUAACGCGUGAAGUUGACCGCCUGGGGAGUACGGUCGCAAGAUUAAAACUUAAAUGAAUUGACGGGGUCAUAGCUGUUUCCU
rnacentral:rRNA from 1 species